rnacentral:rRNA from 1 species
GACGAACGCUGGCGGCGUGCUUCAUACAUGCAAGUCGAACGAGAAGCUGACUUCGGUCAGUGGAAAGUGGCUGACGGGUGAGUAAUAUGUAGGAAAUCUGCCUUUAGGAGGGGGACAACAGAGGGAAACUUCUGCUAAUACCCCAUAUGAGCGUAGCUGAAAUGCUAUUCUUGAAAACUCCGGUGCCUAAAGAUGAGCCUGCAUCUGAUUAGCUAGUUGGUAGUGUAAUGGACUACCAAGGCGACGAUCAGUAGCUGGAUUGAGAGAAUGAUCAGCCACAAUGGGACUGAGACACGGCCCAUCCUCCUACGGGAGGAAGCAGUAGGGAAUUUUGCGGAAUGGGCGCAAGACUGACGAAGCAACGCCGCGUGAACGAUUAAGCCCUUCGGGGUGUAAAGUUCUGUCAGUGGGGACGAAACUUGACGGUACCCACAGAGGAAGCACCGGCUAACUCCGUG